AAUCUUGAGGAAGAGCUUGGCUAAGAACAAGGUGAUAUCUCUCUCUCUCUCCAUCCCUCUCAAUUUAAAUCCAGUUUCAUGUUCUUUCCUCCCCAGUUUUUGAUUUAUUGUUUUUUUAAACAUAUGUGUGCAGAUCUAAGGAACAAAAAUAAGGGGAUGAAUCUUGAGGAAGAGCUUGGAUAAGAACAAGGUGAUCUCUCUCUCUCUCUCUGAAUUUAAGUCCAGUUUCAUCGUUCUUUAUUGAUGCUAUUUCUCGUGGGAUAUUCAGGAGUUGAGAACAUAUAUUUUGUAGGUGUUCGUAAUGGCAACGGUUGUAAUCAACGAUGAGAAAGGGACUGAGAUUGGAUUUGUACUAGGCAUGUUCCUCAUCUCUCUCAGUCCUUGUUCCUAUCCCCACCCUGAUGUAACUGUUUCUUCACAACUGUUGGAUGUGUCUUAGGAGAUAAAUGCCAUGAAUUGUUUAGAUUCUUGUUGAGCUAACCACUAACAAAUUGUUUGUCCCCUUGUUAAAGCUAAUCAUAGUAAUAUCUGGUAAUCGUCCCAGUCAAAAAAAAAAUAUCUGGUAACCGUCCGGCUGAUGUGUAUGGUGGCAACCAAAUUCAUGUUGAUGAACUGAAUCAAAUCUGUAGUAAAGUUAGUGUUAAAUCACACAUGUGUACAUUCAGGUUCAAUACACUCGAGCAGUUUUGUCACAUCUGUGGAUUUAGUAUGACAAGAAAAUUACUUGGAAACCCUCUUCUUCACGUCCAGCGGCCGACGCAGCUCUCGUGCCCUCCCAGCGCUGCCAGUCGGGAGCUUCUCCAUCCUACGCCGCUGCCUCGUAUCGGCUGUGCGAAGGAGGGCGGCGAGCAGCAGGAGCUCACCGCGUGCGUGGAGUUGUGUGGACUCCCUGCACCGCAGCUGCCUCUUUGCCAUUGCUGCGAUGCCUCACCAGCCAUGGAUCUGCUGCAGAUGGAGAGUGCCAACGGGGCCGCCGCCGAUGGGAAGUGCGAACAGAGAAAGGAUGUGGUCGUCGCCAUCGCAAGAAGGUUUGCCCCCUGACAGACCGUGCACUGUUGUCGCGGGUGCUGCAGCAGUCUUGCUCCUUCCUGGAGCCUUCCUCC
rnacentral:lncRNA from 1 species